rnacentral:rRNA from 1 species
UUGUCCAGGGGGCCGCCUUCGCCACCGGUAUUCCUCCAGAUCUCUACGCAUUUCACCGCUACACCUGGAAUUCUACCCCCCUCUACAAGACUCUAGCCUGCCAGUUUCGGAUGCAGUUCCCAGGUUGAGCCCGGGGAUUUCACAUCCGACUUGACAGACCGCCUGCGUGCGCUUUACGCCCAGUAAUUCCGAUUAACGCUUGCACCCUCCGUAUUACCGCGGCUGCUGGCACGGAGUUAGCCGGUGCUUCUUCUGCGAGUAACGUCAAUUGCUGAGGUUAUUAACCACAACACCUUCCUCCUCGCUGAAAGUACUUUACAACCCGAAGGCCUUCUUCAUACACGCGGCAUGGCUGCAUCAGGCUUGCGCCCAUUGUGCAAUAUUCCCCACUGCUGCCUCCCGUAGGAGUCUGGACCGUGUCUCAGUUCCAGUGUGGCUGGUCAUCCUCUCAGACCAGCUAGGGAUCGUCGCCUAGGUGAGCCGUUACCCCACCUACUAGCUAAUCCCAUCUGGGCACAUCCGAUGGCAAGAGGCCCGAAGGUCCCCCUCUUUGGUCUUGCGACGUUAUGCGGUAUUAGCUACCGUUUCCAGUAGUUAUCCCCCUCCAUCGGGCAGUUUCCCAGACAUUACUCACCCGUCCGCCACUCGUCACCCAAGGAGCAAGCUCCUCUGUGCUACCGUUCGACUUGCAUGUGUUAGGCCUGCCGCC